AGUGAACGUUGGCGGUAGGCCUAACACAUGCAAGUCGAACGGCAGCACAGUAAGAGCUUGCUCUUACGGGUGGCGAGUGGCGGACGGGUGAGGAAUACAUCGGAAUCUACUUUUUCGUGGGGGAUAACGUAGGGAAACUUACGCUAAUACCGCAUACGACCUACGGGUGAAAGCAGGGGAUCUUCGGACCUUGCGCGAUUGAAUGAGCCGAUGUCGGAUUAGCUAGUUGGCGGGGUAAAGGCCCACCAAGGUGACGAUCCGUAGCUGGUCUGAGAGGAUGAUCAGCCACACUGGAACUGAGACACGGUCCAGACUCCUACGGGAGGCAGCAGUGGGGAAUAUUGGACAAUGGGCGCAAGCCUGAUCCAGCCAUACCGCGUGGGUGAAGAAGGCCUUCGGGUUGUAAAGCCCUUUUGUUGGGAAAGAAAAGCAGCAGGUUAAUACCCCGCUGUUCUGACGGUACCCAAAGAAUAAGCACCGGCUAACUUCGUG
rnacentral:rRNA from 1 species